CCUACGGGCGGCAGCAGUGAGGAACAUUGGUCAAUGGCCGCAGGGCUGAACCAGCCAAGUCGCGUGAGGGAUGACGGUCCUAUGGAUUGUAAACCUCUUUUGUCAGGGAGCAAAGGGCGCCACGUGUGGCGCUUUGCGAGUACCUGAAGAACAAGCAUCGGCUAACUCCGUGCCAGCAGCCGCGGUAAUACGGAGGAUGCGAGCGUUAUCCGGAUUUAUUGGGUUUAAAGGGUGCGCAGGCGGAAUGUCAAGUCAGCGGUAAAAUUUCGGGGCUCAACCCCGUCGUGCCGUUGAAACUGGCGUUCUUGAGUGAGCGAGAAGUAGGCGGAAUGCGUGGUGUAGCGGUGAAAUGCAUAGAUAUCACGCAGAACUCCGAUUGCGAAGGCAGCAUACCGGCGCUCAACUGACGCUCAUGCACGAAAGCGUGGGUAUCGAACAGGAUUAGAUACCCCUGUAGUC
rnacentral:rRNA from 1 species